GAUGAACGCUGGCGGCGUGCCUAAUACAUGCAAGUCGAGCGAACACACGAGGCGCUUUCCCCUUUGACGUUAGCGGCGGACGCGUGAGUAACAUGUGGGUAACCCACCCAUAUGACUGGGAUAACCUAGUGAAAACGGUACCAAUUCCCGCUUAUCUUCCCAACCGCAUGGUUCGAUAGCGAAAGACCGCUUUGCUACCACUUUUCGCUGGUCCUGGUCCGUAUUAGCUAGUUGGUAAGGUAACGGCUUACCAAGGCAACGAUACGUAGCCGACCUGAGAGGAUGAUCAGCCACACUGGAACUGAGACACGGUCCAGACUCCUACGGGAGGCAGCAGUAGGGAAUAUUGCGCAAUGGGCGAAAGCCUGAUGGAGCAACGCCGCGUGAGUGAUGAAGGUCUUCGGAUCGUAAAGCACUGUUAUUGGGGAAGAACAAACGAAUGAGAAAAUGUGCACGUCUUGACGGUACCUAAAGAGAAAGCAACGGCUAACUACGUG
rnacentral:rRNA from 1 species